rnacentral:rRNA from 1 species
UCCAGACUCCUACGGGAGGCAGCAGUGGGGUCUCUUGCACAAUGUUUGGCCCCCUGAUUCCGCGCCGCCGCGUGGGUGAAGGAGCGUUUCGGCGCGUAAAGCCCUCUCGGCAGGGAAGAAGGAGGACGGUACCUGACUAAGAAGCCCCGGCUAACUACGGGCCAGCAGCCGCGGUAAUACGUAGGGGGCAAGCGUUAUCCGGAUUUACUGGGGGGAAAGGGGGCGCAGACGGCAGCGCAAGCCAGGAGUGAAAGCCCGGGGCCCAACCCCGGGACUGCUCGUGGAACUGCGCGGCUGGAGGGCAGGAGGGGCAGGCGGAAUUCCUGGGGGAGCGGUGAAAUGCGGAGAUAUCAGGAGGAACACCGGUGGCGAAGGCGGCCUGCGGGACGGCGACUGACGGUGAGGCCCGAAAGCGUGGGGAGCAAACAGGAGUAGAUACCCGAGUAC